GGGACAGGGACAGGGACAGGCCAGGGACAGGAACGGGGACAGGGACAGGGUCUGACAACAUGACCAAUCAGCCUGGAGUAACAAAAUGUACUCCUCACCCAUGUCCUCUACAAAGCCUUCCUUCUAAACCUCAGGCCCUGGUCCACGUUUUGUUCAGUUGUGUUGGGCUAGAAGUUGGAUCCAGGGCACAUGCAUGUUGGGCUAGAAGUUUAGCAGUGACCUAUAAUCCCAUGCCCAGACUCCUUGCUGAAAAGUAGAGCCCUGACUAUCUUUCUUGCUCUCACACAGCCCCCCCCUGAACUUGGAUAUGGGUGCCCCGCCUGGAACCAGUGGAAACUGUGUAUCCUGCCCCUGUCCUAACUACCCCCUGUCCCCAGCUGCUCAAGUCCCAGGUCCCUGGAACAUAGGAGACGUCUCACUAGAUCAGUGUACCUUCUGGGCCCAAAUUUCAUCUAUUCUGCUCCAGGAAUUGUGACUCAGAGCCUGCCCCUCCACUACAGACCACUCCCCCAAACACCAAACAGGAGCCUAGCACUAGAGAAGAGCAAGAAUGAGACUCUCUGGAAUGCAGCACGGAGCUGGUGAUCAGAGGUUCAUCCCUAUUGGGAGCCCUGGCCCCCAGAGGGGGAGCCUACAAGACAAAGAGGCCUUGGGCUGUUGGCCCUGAGUUUGAGUUGCUUUGUAUCUUUAUUCCUAACAUUUUCUACCACUGGAGAGGACUGUGGCCACACAGAGUCUGGGGCAGUGGUUAGUGGGUUCAGGACUGUUCCCGGGCUGGGUCUUUGGAGUCUGAGAGGUAGCCAUGGAAGCAGGAGCUGGGAUGCUGGAGCCUGUAAGAUUGAGUCUUGGCACCACUAUAAUCCAGUGGUGGUGACUGGGUCAAUUCCCCCUCUGCGUGCCUACACACACACACACACACACACACACAAGAAUACAACUAAAACUAGCCUCUUCAUUUGGGGUUGCAGUGGUUCAAAUGCCAACCAGAU
rnacentral:lncRNA from 1 species